GUCUCUGUAGCUCAGUUGGUUAGAGCGCUGCACCGGAAUGGCAGGGCCGUAGGUCCAAUUCCUACCAGAGGACC
rnacentral:tRNA from 1 species